rnacentral:ncRNA from 1 species
GAUAGCACUUGGCAAACCUAUCGAAAGAUAGAGACGCAAAACUUCCGGCCUACGUUCGGAAAAUAUGGUAGCGGGGCUACCUUA